rnacentral:rRNA from 1 species
CUAAAAACCUAGCCCAACAAACAUGAAUUUUACCAAAUUAACUAAACCCCUCUUAACAAACCAUUUUAAUAUUCUAGUAAAGGAGAUUGAAAAACUUAUUUGGAGCUAUAAAAACAGUACCGCAAGGGAACGGUGAAAUAUUAUGAAAAACUUCAAGCAGCAAAAAGUAAAGAUUACCUCUUGUACCUUUCGCAUCAUGGUUUAACUAGUCUAACCAAGCAAAACGUAUUUAAGUUUGACUUCCCGAAACUAAGUGAGCUACUUCAGGGCAGCUAGAAGAGCAAACCCGUCUCUGUAGCAAAAGAGUGGGACGACCCUCAAGUAGUGGUGACAGACCUAACGAACUUAGUGAUAGCUGGUUGCUCAAGAAACGGAUUUAAGUCCAACCUGAAAGUUUUAUAACCUAAGUUCAUCAAAACAAUCACCUAGCUUUCAGCGUAAUUCAAAUAAGGUACAGCCUAUUUGAAACAGGAUACAACCUAGCCUAGUGGAUAAGAUCAGCCUAACAUACAAUCAAGUGGGCCUAAAAGCAGCCACCUUUAAUACAGCGUCAAAGCUAAAUUGUAACUGAGCCCAAUUACUUAACCCAUAUCUUAAUCCCCUGCCAAUACUGAGUAAUUCUAUAAUAUUAUAGAAAUUUUUAUGUUAAAACUAGUAACAAGAAGAAGAUUCUUCUCUUAAAUGUACGUAUAAAUCAGAAAAGACAAGCUACUGAUGCUUAACACCUCUGAGCAUAAAGUAGUAACUAACCAAGAAAACUCUACUUUUACUGGUGUUAAUCUAACACAAGAACAUUCUAAGAAAGA